AUGAUGGAAAACAAGAAAAAGGGGAAUGUGUGGUUACCAUAUGGUGAUAUGAUAACAAAAAAUCUGGAACACAUUGGCUUUAAUCUUAAGGAGGAAAAGUCAAAAGAGAACUUAACAAGGAUAUGGAAACAUACUUUGGGACAAAUGGAAAUGACCAUCUACAAAGGAGAGGAUUCAGUUAGGGUUUCAAAUCGGCGACCAUGGAAUUCGGAAACCCUAAUCUUUGAAUUGGGGCUUUUGAUCUCUGCGAUGUGUGGAAUGAAUCGGGUAUUGCGUAUGUGUAAGAUCUGA